rnacentral:rRNA from 1 species
GAAACGACCCGGCGAGGCAGAGGCUUCGGCGCCGAGGGCAGGCACGGCCGCCGCCCGCCCCGCCCCGCCGCUGUGCCGCGCUGCCGCUGCGCGUCCCGGCGGGGGGGCCGGCCCACCGUCUUGGAGAUGCGGGGCUUACUCAAUUAGUGGGUCAAGAGAAUUCGAGGACUCGUUCCGUCCACUGACUAACCAACGGAACUACGAACUUAUUGACUCGUCAUAAGCUCCCUAGCCCGGAGGUAACGAAAAACUGGAUGUGAUGUUCUCUUACACGACUCUUUCGGUCCCUCCUCGAACGACUGUCACAAUCAGUAGUUUACAAACCAACGUUGGUAUCCCACUACACCCCAACUGCAGGUCCCAGAGCUGGUGUCGUGUCGUCCCGACACUCGUCUCACUUAUCACUUCCUAGGACGAGUGUGUAAACGACAUAAGUAGGGGUGGAGUACACGGGGACAAAAGACCCAAUUGGUGGGGGAAAAGAACAUUGUGACAGUUAGGACAUAUCUAUGUGAGGAAAUGGAAGACCAGAUGCACAUCUAAACAACAGAGUGAUCUCCAAGUAUUAGGUUUCUUAAAAACAAGAAAGACGACACUAUCAUAUAACAACACAAAGAAAUUACCAAUAUCGU